GGCCAGCAUCAGUUUGGAUGAUGGGAUAANGACAUUGGAAUGUGCUNUGCCUCGGUGGAGUGUUAUAGCCUUUGUUGAUACCGUCUAUCUNGACUGAGGCUGCGUCUUUGACUAGGAUGUUGGCAUAAU
rnacentral:rRNA from 1 species